CUUCGGGUUAGUGGCGGACGGGUGAGUAACGCGUGAGAAUCUGCCCUCAGGAGGGGGAUAACGGCUGGAAACGGCCGCUAAUACCCCAUAUGCCGAGAGGUGAAAUGAAUUUCGCCUGAGGAUGAGCUCGCGUCUGAUUAGCUAGUUGGUGUGGUAAAGGCUCACCAAGGCUUCGAUCAGUAGCUGGUCUGAGAGGAUGAUCAGCCACACUGGGACUGAGACACGGCCCAGACUCCUACGGGAGGCAGCAGUGGGGAAUUUUCCGCAAUGGGCGCAAGCCUGACGGAGCAACGCCGCGUGAGGGAUGAAGGCCUCUGGGCUGUAAACCUCUUUUAUCAAGGAAGAAGAUCUGACGGUACUUGAUGAAUAAGCCACGGCUAAUUCCGUGCCAGCAGCCGCGGUAAUACGGGAGUGGCAAGCGUUAUCCGGAAUUAUUGGGCGUAAAGCGUCCGCAGGCGGUUUUACAAGUCUGUCGUUAAAACGUGGAGCUCAACUCCAUUUCGGCGAUGG
rnacentral:rRNA from 1 species